rnacentral:lncRNA from 1 species
GGCCUCUGUUCCACUCCACCUCUCUAGGAAAGUCAAAGGCUUGUAUACACAGGUGCAGUCGUCCAUUCAGGAGGUAUAUAUUGAACAUUUAUUCUAUCCCGAGGACUAUGCUAGGUAAUAGGAAUGAGAUUAUGAAAAUGAUGUCAUCUCUGCCCUCUUGGAGGCCAACCUUCAUAAAUAGAAAAACAAUACAAUGGGAAGCGGAGUAAAUGAAUUUAAGUCAGAGCUAUACUUAGCUGCUUAAACAGAAGUCCUAAAAAAAAAAAAAAAAAAAAAAAAAAAAAAAAAAACAGCACCACAGCAGCCUCCUCCAUCUACCUCAAAUUAAGGCAAUCUGACCCAGUGCUGUAACUCAACAGAUAUUUGUAGAGCAGUGUGCAUCCUGCAGCCACUUGCCAGGGUAGCGAAGUCAGAGCUAUAGCCUAGACCUUAUAGAUCUCAUGUGCAGAUCAGACAAACCAGCUAUACUCCCCGCUCUCCCCCCACCAGUUCUGGAUUUUUACUAUGAUCAGAGAACAGCCAGUAAACCGGUCUUCCUAGUACCAGUCACCUCCAUGGUCAAGGCAUUGCCCACCCUCCCUGUGUCUGUACAUCAUCACUAUCCAGCAAGCCCUCAGCCAGUGUUCAACCCUUGCUACCUUCUGCCUCCUGCAAGCUCUAGGCAGGUACUGGGGUAACUGAAGCAAAAUGCUAUUGAGAAAUUUGAAGAAUGUUGAAGGAGAUGUGAAAGUCUUAUGAAACUAAAUAAUUGAGGGACUGGAGAGGUGGCUCAGUGGUUAAGAGCAGACUGCUGUUCCAGAAGAGCGGGUUCAAUUCAUAGCACUCACAUAUUGGCUCACAGUUGCUUGUAACUCCAGUUCUAGGAAAUCUGAUGCCCUCUUCCAGCCUCCUUGAGCACCAGGCAUUCAUGUGCUACCCAGACAUACAUACAGAGAAAACACCCAUAC